AACACGGUCCAGACUCCCACGGGAGGCAGCAGUUGGGAAUAUUGGACAAUGGGAGAAAUCCUGAUCCAGCCACCCCGCGUGAGUGAUGAAGGCCUUCGGGUCGUAAAGCUCUUUAAGUAGGGAAGAACAAAAUGACGGUACCUACAGAAUAGGCACCGGCUAACUCUGUGCCAGCAGCCGCGGUAAUACAGAGGGUGCAAGCGUUGUUCGGAAUCGUUGGGCGUAAAGCGCGAGUAGGCGGCCACCUAAGUCUGGUGUGAAAUCCCGGGGCUCAACCCCGGAAGUGCACUGGAUGCUGGGUGGCUAGAGGGUGAGAGAGGAGAUUGGAAUUAAUGGUGUAGGGGUGAAAUCCGUAGAUAUCAUUAGGAACAUCUGUGGCGAAGGCGAAUCUCUGGCUCACUUCUGACGCUGAGACGCGAAAGCGUGGGGAGCAAACAGGAUUAGAUACCCUGGUAGUCCACGCCCUAAACGAUGAAUACUAGUUGUCGGGAUACCUAAUUGUCUCGGUGACGAAGCUAACGCAUUAAGUAUUCCGCCUGGGGACUACGGUCGCAAGAUUAAAACUCAAAGGAAUUGACGGGGGCCCGCACAAGCGGUGGAUCAUGUGGUUUAAUUCGAUGCUACGCGAAAAACCUUACCUAGGCUUGACAUCCCGCGCUAACCCAUGAAAGUGGGCGUUCCCUUCGGGGACGCGGAGACAGGUGCUGCAUGGCUGUCGUCAGCUCGUGUUGUGAGAUGUUGGGUUAAGUCCCGCAACGAGCGCAACCCUCGUCGGUAGUUACCAGCAUUAAGUUGGGGACUCUACCGAGACCGCUGGGCUAUAAGCCAGAGGAAGGAGGGGAUGACGUCAAGUCCUCAUGGCCUUUAUGUCUAGGGCUACACACGUGAUACAAUGGGAGGUACAAACCGUUGCCAGCUCGCGAGAGUUAGCUAAUCGUAAAAAACCUCCCUCAGUUCGGAUUGGAGUCUGCAACUCGACUCCAUGAAGCUGGAAUCGCUAGUAAUCGCGGAUCAGAACGCCGCGGUGAAUACGUUCCCGGGCCUUGUACACACCGCCCGUCACACCAUGGGAGUUGGGUAAACCUGAAAACGCCUUUGUAACCCGCAAGGGAGCUAAGCGUUUAUGGUUUGACCGAUGACUGGGGUGAAGUCGUAACAAGGUAGCCGUAGCGGAAGCUGCGGCUG
rnacentral:rRNA from 1 species